rnacentral:rRNA from 1 species
UACGAGGGGGGCAAGCGUUGUUCGGAAUUAUUGGGCGUAAAGGGCGCGUAGGCGGUUUGACAAGUCUGAUGUGAAAUCUAUGGGCUCAACCCAUAGCCUGCAUUAGAAACUGUCGGGCUUGAGUAUGGGAGAGGUGAGUGGAAUUUCCGGUGUAGCGGUGAAAUGCGUAGAUAUCGGAAGGAACACCAGCGGCGAAGGCGGCCAUCUGGACGGUGACUGACGCUCAGACGCGAAAGCGCGGGAGCAAACAGG